CAAAGGACUGAUGUCACAACAACCCCCUGAAAAACUGUGAUUCAAAAAUAAUUCCUUAUAUGCCAUCACUUACACACAUUAGUGUAUGUACAGCAUAAUUGCAUCUGUUUUCCUUAAAUUGAACUGAUUAUUGGAAGCAACCUAAUUUUAAGUCCGUCACUGUGCAGAUUAACAUUUGGUUGUCUUUUGGGAGGUUUCAAUAGCCUAUACUGCUUAUUUUGUGUGAAACAAGAGUAAAUGCCUGUGAAAGAUCAUUCUUUUAUGUAAGCAAUAUGUUUCAUUCUGAGAUAACAAAAGCUACCAACAAAUACUCUGUAUUUUACACAUACAGUGGUCCUACUGAAAUGCUUUUUUAUUCAAGUACAACUUUAAAUUAGAUGUUUAUUUUUUAUCUUUUUUUUUUAAUAAAUAACAUGAUAUACAGUGCAAGUUCAAUCCUUGGCACUGUUCCAGUCUGACCACAAACUUUGCAGUAACAUUCAUUUCGUGUACUCAAGAUGCUGGUACUUACUCACCUCUCGUUUGUAAAUACAGGUAGUCAAAAUUAGAGGCCACAUCUUAGAUGUGGCUCUGAGCUGGUAGUAGAAGACUAGAACUGAACUGCUGACUGACAGCAAGAUAUUCUAUCACAGGUACCCCAGAACAUAAGGGAGUGGGGAUGGCUACUUGAAAGAAAACAGAACUUCCCCCCAUCCCCUCCCACACAGCCACCAUCUCUGCUGAUCAACUUGGUCUCUAUACUGCUGUUCCAUGGCCUUCUCCUGCUUCUGGAGGCAGAAAUCUAAGUUCGCCUCUCCUUCCUAACCCAAACAGUCACAUUCGCCAGCUGCCAAGCAACUACUGAAAAUCUAAGAAUGCUCAGAUGAUAAUUACUGAAGCAUCAUGAUAUGUAUCAUUCACAAUAUAAAUAUUUUGGCCUCCUUAACCUCAAAAUAAAGCUACAUCAUGCACUGCAGGGAAUCACAUCAAGG